rnacentral:rRNA from 1 species
UAGUUGGUGGAGUGAUUUGUCUGGUUAAUUCCGUUAACGAACGAGACCUCAACCUGCUAAUCAGCCACACCUAUCUUCGGAUAUGUGGUGCGCUUCUUAGAGGGACAUUGUGUGUCUAAUACAAGGAGGAUUGAGGCAAUAACAGGU